GUGAGUGCUUUCGGCCUCACUCAGGAGCCUGUUCCUUACUGAACACCUAACGGUGCAUUUCCAAACACCUUUCAGCCUUCAUCUCGCCUCAGUGUCUCAACAUUCAGGGCAGGCAAGAAAGCGUGCAGCUUUUACCCUAGUAGAGACGGGCAGAGGCAGAUGGAUUCCUGAGAUUGAGGCAGCUUGGUUUACAGAGUGAGCUCCAUGCCAGGUCCUCUACCAAAUAUUCAGUUCAUCCAAGCCAGGGUGAGGCACUGCAGGGAGAUAAAACACUCUUGUGUUUUCAAGUCCUAAUAAUCUUACGCUAGCAACUUAUGUUGCAGUUGUCUUUCAGUCUGACUCCUUCUGU
rnacentral:lncRNA from 1 species